rnacentral:lncRNA from 1 species
UGAAUCACCAAAAUAAUUAGGCAGAAUUUGCUCUUUAAAACUAUUAAUAAUAACAGGCUCGAAGUAAAUUCUUUCCUAAAAUAUCAAGUGGUUUCAUAUUCUCUGACUCAGAAGACUUUUAAUGAGUGAGGUUCGAAAUGCCUAAUGAGUUCCAGGUGGGAAAACCCAUCUCAAAAAAAAAAAAAAAAAGAAAAAAAGAAAGGAAGGAAAAGAAAAAUAAGAAAAGCAUCGCCAAGCCUGAUUAGUAAUCUGUUACAUCGGUUACAGAAGGGAGAAAGGGGAUUUAGUUAGGUUCAUGACAGGACACACUGGGGAAAACCUUGUGCUGGGAGCCUACAAAAGGGCACUUGCAGAGACUUUAUAAAAUCCACUCUGCUCAACUGUCAGAGUUCUGUGGCCUUUGGCCUGAGAUGUUAACCCAGCACUCAGGUUGAAGCAGGAAGGUUGCCAUGAGUUCAAGCCCUGCCCGGACUACGUAGUGAAUUUCAGGUCACACCAGGCCACAGAGUCAGACCGUAUCUCAAAAAAAAAAAAAAGGUGGCAAAUAUAUUAAAAACAGAUAAGUCUCUCUGCAUAAGAGAGCAGGAAAGCUAAUGACAAUCAAAAUCUCACGUUUUUCCUUGGCUUGCCUUUCUUCUGGUGACUUCAUUUGGGUUUGUUUUUCUCCAUGUGCACUUUCCCGUGUCACAUGACUGAGAGGAACGCCUGUUAGCUGAGGUGCAAGGCAAUGACUGAGAAAGACAAAGUGCAUCAUGGUAAAGUAGAUCAAUGGUGAUUUCCUGAGCCCCGGACUCGGGGAGGGUCAUUUAUACAUGCCUGGGCCACUGAGCAGUGUCUAAACCACUAAAGAAAAGAGAGUCCCCUUUCACCACCAUUAAUAUCAUGUAGAUCCUAAGGAGGAAUUACAUGAUCCCUCUUCAGCUUCUCUUCACUAGCAACCUGUAAAUCCUCAGGGAGAGGUGGGGUCUUGUAAGCCCAUCCUCCCUUGAGGACAGAAUAGUGAUGGCCCGCUCUCGUAUCCAGAUCUUCAUGGCUGCUGAGAAUUCUAGAGCGCAGUAGCCAUGUCCUGCCUGGAAAACAGCAUGGCACAACAUCCCACCCCUUCCUCUGCCCCUUCUGCCUCCUUUCUCUGCUCCCUGAACCUUAAAGGCUGUGAUAUAGAUACACCAUUUAGGGCUAAGCACACUCGCCUCUGAAGUUGUGAGCCCUGCAGUAAUGGACACCUGCUGCACAAAGCUUUUCUGCCCUAGGCCGACAGUAGCCCUGACUCUCCAGCUUAGACAUAAACACGGUUUGAGACACAUCAUGUUCACUUAGAGUACCACACAGCUGGCCCACCAGGCACAUGUCCCAUGGUUCUCAGGUCAGUAUUAUCAGUCACAAUCGCAGCUCAGUGCGACAGCUCUCCCCCAGCAGCCUGCACAGCACCCGCCAAUUCCUUAUAAGGGGCCACAGACUCGUUUAUGCUUCUUUUACAGGCCAGAUCUCAUCAAGGUGACUAUUGAGGUUAUCACUACAGUGGCUCAUGCCUGUAAUCCCAGCAGUAGAGAAACUGACACAGGAGAAUUGCCAGUUUGGGGUCAUCCUAGGCUACAUAUUAAGUUCCAGGCCAGGCUGUGCUGGUUGGGUUUUUUAAGAUGACAUUAGCCUGGACAUAUGUCAGAAGAGAGGUGUUUUUUUAAAAACUGGCUGUUCUGGAGCUUGCUAUGUAGACAAGGCUACCCUGGAACUCACUGAGAAGAGGGAAUCUUAAUUGAGAAAAUGCUUUCAUAAGAUUGAUCCAUAGGCAAGAUCAUGAGUGUUUUCUUGAUUACUGAUUAUGUGGGAGGCCCAGCUCACUGUGGGUGGUGCCACCCCUGGACUGGGUUAUGUAAGAAAGCAAGGUGAACACACCAUAAAAAGCAAGACAGCAAACACUGGUUCUCUGUGGGCUCUGCUUCAGCCAUGCCUUGACCUCCUCCAGUCAGAGGAUAAUGCUCUGGGAGCUCUAAGAUGAAAUAGCCUUUGCUUCCUAAGUUGCUUUUGGUGUUGUGUUUCAUUACAGCAGUAGAAAUCCUAACACAAGCCAAUCUGGGCCACACUAUGAGACCUUGCCAAAACAAAAACUAAACCAAGGUAGUCUUAAGAUAGGAGUAAUCAGAUCCAAUGCAAGCUAGCAUGAGUCUAGGUUAUUUCUUUUAUUCUUUUAUGUGUGUGUUUUGCCUACAUGUAUGAAUGUGUACCACGUGCAUACGUGGUGCUUAUGGAGGUCAGAAGAGGGUGUCCAUUCCCCUGGAACUGGAGCUGCAGAUGGUUGUAAACACUAUGUGGUGCUGGUGACAGAAGCCGGUGCUCCUGGACGAGCAGCAAGUGUUAUCAGCCGCCACGCUGUCUCCCCGUGGCCUUUAGGUUACUUAGCUCUUCUUUAUGUAAACGUAGUACUCAAAAAAAAAAAAAAAA